GGUGCUGAGCUCCCGUCUUUCACAUGCAUUUGCUCAUGGCAGCCUUGGGAAGUAAUGACUUUAACUUUACAGAAGCUCAGAGAGGUUAAGUGACGGGCCUACGGUCACCCUCGAGUCCACCUGGCUCCCUGCCAGGCCUCUCUGCUCUCCAGCUUGCUCUGAUGCAGCAGUCUCGACCCUUGGCUGCAUGUGGUGGAGGUCUAUCACCAUGGCACAGCCGUGGAACCCCUCUGCCUACACCCCCGGCACAAUCGCUAGAGUUAUAGCCUCUCCUCCCCCAGGCCUCGCACUAGUGAGUCACUAGGAGUAGAGGAGUGUUGAAUUAAGGGUCAGUCCACCCUACUUCGUUCUUGCCCCCUCUUCCCAAAUUGCCCAAGGAUGGAUGUCCCAUGAACUGCUGGGCAAAUUCUUCCCCGGGUACUUGACAGCCUCCAUCCUUGACCAGCAUUGCCAGGGGGAAACAGAGGCUGUGAAUGCCUAGCCUAGCUCAUCCUGACCCUGACCCCUGGAGAUGCCAGGAUGAAAGGGCCAGGGACGUGGGGAGAGAUUAGAAAGGAAGACAAAGGGAGGGGGUCUGAACUGAGAAGAGCACAGCCCGAUGGUGGCAAUGGGGACAAGGGCCAAGGAAUCAGGGCAAACAGAAAGCAACUGUGUGUUUCACUGCAAACGGCCUGCCGGCCUGUGAAGGGUAAUAGAUGGGAAGUUCCAAGGGGCUGUAAUCCAGUCCGAUAGAACAGGCCACACAGAACCCACACACCUCUGUGGAGUAAUUUAUGCCACAUUAACUCUGUGCACUUGGGCCUCCAUGUGCAACCAUGUGUGUCUUGACAUCCGUGUUUUGUGUGAGCAAACAGGGCUAGCCAAACCCACGGGACCGCUGGAUGGUUUCACGCAUGGGAAAUGAUGGGAGGUGCCGGGAAGAAGUGCUGACCUCAAAACAUCUGGGCCUGCCAUGAAGCCUGAUGUCCUCCUAUUUUAGAUUCCUAUCCUGCUCUGGUACAGUAACCGGCACCCGACAGAUGCUCCAUAAACAUUAACUUGAACCCGUCCUUUCAACUGGAAGAGGUUGGUGUGAGAGAACAGUAAACAAGCUGGCUGUACAUGGAACAGCCUCAGCCGUGUGGCUGUCAGAGAGGAGGCGAGGACCCUCUGCCUCCCUCCCUGUGCUCCCCUCACAUCGUCUUCUUGGCUUCUCCACGCGCCACUCCAGCACCUGCUGUUUCCACAUGAGACUGUAAGCUGCGUGCAAACGGAGACUGAAUAGCAAUUGUUGUUGGGUGCCUAAAAAAUGCUGCACCCUUAAUAGGUGCUCAGUACAUACUCACUGAAUAAAUGGAAAGUGAGAUGUGGUGAGGGAUGAGGUAGGCACUUCCAGUGAGGGUCAGACACUCCUCUCUCAACUUUCACCUCCAGCAGUGCAAACAAUAUAAAAAGCCGGAUGUGUUAUAUAACACCUGUCUAUGUGAAUGGCUGAACUAGUAGGAAAGUAAGAAUUCUUCACAGGCCAAAAGCAGUGGGAAAGUCAACAUCCUAGGAGGUAAGCAAGAGCCUAAGCCAGAAUAUCUGCCACACCCUGGGGACUUGAAGCUUCUGUCUCGGGGGCUGCUGAAGCAUUCAAGAAUCAAGAGAUACAGCCCAGGGCUCACCCAUGAUGGGCAAUCUAAAGGAAGACGGCAUGAAAGUCAGACCACAGAGGGCUGGAUCCUCAGCGAGAGAAUGAGCAAAAGACCAUUUUGCGGUCUUCCUCCUCCAAACCCAUAACUCCAGUCUCACUAUGAGAAAAACAUCAAACAGAUCCCAGUUGAGGAACAUCCUACAAAAUACCUGAUCAGUACUCUUCAAAAUAGUUAAGGUCAUCAAAAAGGAAAGUCUAAGAAACUGUGACAGCCAAGAGGAGCUUAAGGACACAGGAUGACUAAACAUAAUACAAUAUUCUGGAUGGGAACCCGGGGCAGAAAGGGGAAAUUAGGUAAAAACUGAAGACAAAUGAAUAAAGCAUGGACUUUAGUUAAUAAUAAUCUAUCAAUAUUGACUCAUCAAUUUUGACAAAUGUACCCACCAUACAAAUAUAAGAUGUUAAUGGGGGCAAGUCGGUACAGGGUACAUGAAAACUCUCUGUAUUAUUUUUGAAACUUUUCUGUAAAUAUAAAACUACUCUAAAAUUAAAAAAAAAAAUUUAAAUAAAAUAAACCCAAUAUACAUAAGGGAAAAGCAAGGAAACUUGUAACUCUUCACUUGAUUUUGGGAAGAGAGAGAGAAAGACUGUCUCCUGAGAUUCAUAGCCAUUUAUUUAAAUUUGUAGUCUAAUACCAUACUGUCUUGUUGAUUACAGCUUUGUAGUAGAGGCUAGAGUCUGGGAUUGAGAUACCUCUGGCUUUGGUUUUCUUUUUCAACAUUACUUUGGCUAUUCAGGGUCUUUUGUGGCUCCAUACGAAUUUUAGGAUUGUUUGUUCUAGCUUUGAGAAGAAUGCUGGUGCAAUUUUGAUUGGGAUUGCAUUGAAUGUAUAGAUGGCUUUGGGUAGUAUUGACAUUUUAACAAUAUUUAUUCUUCCAAUCCAUGAGAAUGGAAUGUUUUUCCAUUUCUUUGUGUCUUCUUCAAUUUCCUUCAUAAGUCUUCUAUAGUUUUCAGCAUACAGAUUUUUUACAUCUUUGGUUAGGAUUAUUCCUAGGUAUUUUAUGGUUCUUGGUGCAAUUGUAAGUGGAAUCUAUUUCUACAACGCUGUAAUUAUCAAGACAGUAUGGUAUUGGCACAAAAACAGACAUAUAGACCAAUGGAAUAGAAUAGAGAACCCAGAAUUGGACCCAAAAAUGUAUAGCCAGCUAAUCUUUGACAAAGCAGGAAAGAGUAUCCAAUGGAAAAAAGUUUCUUUAGCGAAUGGUGCUGGGAGAACUGGACAGCAACAUGAAAGGAUGAAACUAGUACACAAAAAUAAACUCAAAAUGGAUGAAAGACCUAAAUGUGAGACAGGAAACCAUCAAAACCCUACAGGAGAAAACAGGCAACAACCUCUUUGACUUCAGCCGCAGCAAUUUCUUGCUUGACACAUCUCCAAAGGCAAGGGGACUAAAAGCAAAAAUGAACUAUUGGGACCUCAUCAAGAUAAAAAUCUUCUGGGGGCGCCUGGGUGGCUCAGUUGGUUGAGCAUCCAACUUCGGCUCAGGUCAUGUUCUCAUGGUCCGUGAGUUCGAGACCUAUGUCAGGCUCUGUGCUGACAGCUCAGAGCCUGGAGCCUGCUUCAGAUUCUGUGUCUCCUUCUCUCUCUGUCCCUCCCCCACUCAUGCUCUGUCUCUCUCUGUCUCAGAAAUAAAAAAACAUUUAAAAAAAAUUUUUUUAAAGAUAAAGAUGUUCUGCACUGCAACAGAAACAAUCAACAAAACAAAACUAAAAGGCAACUGAUGGGAUGGAAAUUUGCAAAUGACAUAUUGAAUAAAGGGUUAGUAUCCAAAAUCUAUAAACAACUUACAACCUCAACACCUGAAAAAUAAAUAAUCCAGUGAAGAAAUGGACAGAAGACAUGAAUAGACACUUUUCCAAAGAAGACAUCCAGAUGGCCAACGGACACAGGAAAAGAUGCUCAACGUCACUCAUCAUCAGGGAAGUAAAAAUCAAAACCACAUUGAGACACCACUUCACACCAGUCAGAGUGGAUAAAAUUAACAACUCAGGAAACAACAGAUGCUGGUGAGGAUGUGGAGAAACGGGAACCCUCUUGCACUGCUGGUGGGAAUGCAAACUGGUGCAGAUGCUCUAGAAAAUAGAGUGGAGGUUCCUCAAAAAGUUAAAAAUAGAACUACCCUAUGAACCAGCAAUAGCACUACUGGGAAUUGAUCCAAAGGAUACAGGAAUGCUGAUUCAUAGGGGCACAAGUACCCCAAUAUUUAUAGCAGCACUUUCAACAACAGUCAGUUAUGGAAAGAGCCUAAAUGUCCACCAACUGACAAAUGGAUGAAGAAGAUGUGGUUUAUGUAUACAAUGGAAUACUACUUGGCAAUGAGAAAGAAUGAAAUCCUGCCAUUUGCAGUAAGGUGGAUGGAACUGGAGGGUAUUAUGCUAAGUGAAGUAAGUCAGUCAGUGAAAGACAGAUAUCACAUGUUUUCACUCAUAUGUGGAACUUGAGAAACUUAACAGAAGACCAUCAGGGAAAGGAAGGGAAAAAAAAUAGUUACAAACACAGAGGGAAGGAGGCAAACCAUAAGAGACUCUUAAGUACAGAGA